UGCCAAAAUACAGAGGUCGUCCUCUAUAUAGU
rnacentral:piRNA from 1 species